GAUGAACGCUAGCUACAGGCUUAACACAUGCAAGUCGAGGGGAAACGAUAGAGGAAGCUUGCUUUUUCUAGGCGUCGACCGGCGCACGGGUGAGUAACGCGUAUCCAACCUGCCCAUCACUUGGGGAUAACCUUGCGAAAGUAAGACUAAUACCCAAUGAUAUCUCUAGAAGACAUCUGAAAGAGAUUAAAGAUUUAUCGGUGAUGGAUGGGGAUGCGUCUGAUUAGCUUGUUGGCGGGGUAACGGCCCACCAAGGCGACGAUCAGUAGGGGUUCUGAGAGGAAGGUCCCCACAUUGGAACUGAGACACGGUCCAAACUCCUACGGGAGGCAGCAGUGAGGAAUAUUGGUCAAUGGCGCAGGCCUGAACCAAGCCAAGU
rnacentral:rRNA from 1 species